UCCGUAGGCGGUGUAGCAAGUCGAUAGUGAAAUCUCUGGGCUUAACUCAGAGGCUGCUAACGAAACUGCUAUGCUAGAGUGUGAGAGAGGCGAGUGGAAUUACGGGUGUAGCGGUGAAAUGCGUAGAUAUCCGUAGGAACAUCCGAGGCGAAGGCGGCUCGCUGGAUCACAACUGACGCUGAGGGACGAAAGCUAGGGGAGCAAACAGGAUUAGAUACCCUGGUAGUCCUAGCCCUAAACCAUCAGGACUUGGGGUUUGCCCUGUACGGGGCAAGUCCCGUAGCUAACGCGUUAAGUCCUGGCGCCUGGGGAGUACGGUCGCAAGGCUGAA
rnacentral:rRNA from 1 species